rnacentral:rRNA from 1 species
ACGGGAGGCAGCAGCUAAGAAUAUUCCGCAAUGGACGAAAGUCUGACGGAGCGACGCCGCGUGGAUGAUGAAGGUCGAAAGAUUGUAAAAUCCUUUUAGGAGUGAAGAAUAAGCGGUGCAGGGAAUGGCAUCACGGUGACGGUAGCUCCUGAAUAAGCAACGGCUAAUUACGUGCCAGCAGCCGCGGUAACACGUAAGUUGCGAGCGUUGUUCGGAAUUAUUGGGCGUAAAGGGCAUGUAGGCGGUUUUGCAAGCUUGAUGUGAAAGGCAGGAGCUUAACUCCUGGACUGCGUUGAGAACUGCAUGACUAGAGUCACUGAGGGGCAAUCAGAAUUCCAGGUGUAGGGGUGAAAUCUGUAGAUAUCUGGAAGAAUACCAAUGGCGAAGGCAGGUUACCAGCAGAUGACUGACGCUGAGGUGCGAAGGUGCGGGGAGCAAACAGGAUUAGAUACCCUGGUA